GCCAGGGUAGCUCAAUCGGUAGAGCAGCGGUUCCUGGAGUCCGCUGGUUCUCGGUUCAAGCCCGAGCCCUGGUUG
rnacentral:tRNA from 1 species